GGCGGCUAUAGGCCCGGGCAAGCCAGGGCUUUGCCCUGGUAGUUUCCAACCAAAACCACACCCAAAAGCCACAACUGUUUAUACUUGCUAUCAGCUCCA
rnacentral:lncRNA from 1 species